UACGUAGGGAGCAAGCGUUGUCCGGAAUCAUUGGGCGUAAAGAGCGUGUAGGCGGUUGGAUAAGUCUUGUGUGAAAUCUUCGGGCUCAACUCGAAGUCUGCACGAGAAACUAUCUGGCUUGAGUGUGGGAGAGGUGAGUGGAAUUCCUGGUGUAGCGGUGAAAUGCGUAGAUAUCAGGAGGAACACCUGUGGCGAAAGCGGCUCACUGGACCACAACUGACGCUGAGGCGCGAAAGCUAGGGGAGCAAACAGG
rnacentral:rRNA from 1 species